UCAUUUCUCUCUAAUUUCUAAAUCUUAUGCGCCCUGCCCUGCCCUGCAAAUGCAAUUUUGAUUUUAUUAUCAAGUAUAAUAGAAUUUGUUUGAUUCAUGUCAAGUAUUUUUUAUGUUUGAACUGGAUAUGUCUAGUGUAGUGCUUUCACGGUAUAUGAGAAUUUCACUUUUUAUGGUUUAACCCGAGGUGAUAUGCCAUUGCUGAUUGCUGUCUCUUCUCAUGUGAAAAACUGAUUAAAUCAAUGAAUAUGACUUCAAUUCUCAGCAAUCAAAUCUGUUUGCUUCAAGGAUAUUAGCUGUGUGCCAUUUCAUGAUGUGGAUUUGACUGUGUUCAAUUUCAAUCCUGCUUAAAAUACAAACUCAGUAUGCAUGAAUAGCUUAAUGUGCUAGGGAGAUGGAGGAUUGCUGAGGUGAAGGCUAAUGAAAGGAGGAAAGCACUGGAAGAGAUUUUGUAUGCACUGGUGGUGCAAAAGUUCAUGGCUGCUAACAUUUCCCUCAUACCCUCCAUAACCCCAGACCCAACCGGUAGAGUUGAUUCAUGGCCAAAUGAUGAUGAGAAGCUUAAGCAGCUUCACUCAUACGAAGCAUAUGAGAUGCAACACAAACAAAGAGGUUCAAUCAAUGACAGUGUCACAAAAAUAGAAACCCUCAUCAGCGAUUACAAUGUCACCAUUUGCAACAUACACAAACAAUCUUAAUC